GCGGCAAAAGCUCAAAUUUGAAAUCUGGUACCUUCGGUGCCCGAGUUGUAAUUUGGAGAGGGCAACUUUGGGGCCGUUCCUUGUCUAUGUUCCUUGGAACAGGACGUCAUAGAGGGUGAGAAUCCCGUGUGGCGAGGAGUGCGGUUCUUUGUAAAGUGCCUUCGAAGAGUCGAGUUGUUUGGGAAUGCAGCUCUAAGUGGGUGGUAAAUUCCAUCUAAAGCUAAAUAUUGGCGAGAGACCGAUAGCGAACAAGUACAGUGAUGGAAAGAUGAAAAGAACUUUGAAAAGAGAGUGAAAAAGUACGUGAAAUUGUUGAAAGGGAAGGGCAUUUGAUCAGACAUGGUGUUUUGUGCCCUCUGCUCCUUGUGGGUAGGGGAAUCUCGCAUUUCACUGGGCCAGCAUCAGUUUUGGUGGCAGGAUAAAUCCAUAGGAAUGUAGCUUGCCUCGGUAAGUAUUAUAGCCUGUGGGAAUACUGCCAGCUGGGACUGAGGACUGCGACGUAAGUCAAGGAUGCUGGCAUAAUGGUUAUAUGCCGCCCGU
rnacentral:rRNA from 1 species